rnacentral:rRNA from 1 species
GAUGAACGCUAGCGGCAGGCUUAAUACAUGCAAGUCGAGGGGCAGCAUGAUUGUAGCAAUACAAUUGAUGGCGACCGGCAAACGGGUGCGGAACACGUACACAACCUUCCAACAAGUGGGGGAUAGCCCAGAGAAAUUUGGAUUAAUACCCCGUAACAUAGCGAUGUGGCAUCACAUUGCUAUUAUAGAUUUUUCGCUUGUUGAUGGGUGUGCGGCUGAUUAGAUAGUUGGCGGGGUAACGGCCCACCAAGUCUACGAUCAGUAGCUGAUGUGAGAGCAUGAUCAGCCACACGGGCACUGAGACACGGGCCCGACUCCUACGGGAGGCAGCAGUAAGGAAUAUUGGACAAUGGACGCAAGUCUGAUCCAGCCAUGCCGCGUGAAGGAUUAAGGUCCUCUGGAUUGUAAACUUCUUUUAUAAGGGACGAAAAAAGGCUUUUCUAAGUCGUCUGACGGUACCUUAUGAAUAAGCAUCGGCUAACUCCGUGCCAGCAGCCGCGGUAAAAC